CGCUGACGCAAGCUUGCGCGCACAGCUGGGCCUGCCGCGUCCUACGCAGCAGCCGCGAGCCGGGCAGCCGGUGCCAGACGGUUCCCGGCGGGGGGCAGGGGCGGGGCGCUCCAAGAGGCCAGGGACUCCCGGCGGAGGAGCCCCAAGGAGGCCCGCCUGACGACUGACGAGUUGCCAUGGCAUCCUACUACGAGAUCCUAGACGUGCCGCGAAGUGCGUCCGCUGAUGACAUCAAAAAGGCAUAUCGGAAGAAGGCUUUACAGUGGCACCCAGACAAGAACCCAGAUAAUAAAGAGUUUGCUGAGAAGAAGUUCAAGGAGGUGGCCGAGGCGUAUGAAGUGCUGUCGGACAAGCAUAAGCGUGAGAUCUACGACCACUAUGGCCGGGAAGGGCUGACUGGGGCAGGUACUGGCCCGUGUCGGGCAGAAGCUGGCAGUGGCGGCCCUGGCUUCACCUUCACCUUCCGCAGCCCGGAGGAGGUCUUCCGGGAGUUCUUCGGGAGUGGUGACCCUUUUGCAGAGCUCUUUGAUGACCUGGGCCCGUUCUCAGAGCUUCAGAACCGGAGUGCCCGACACUCGGGCCCUUUCUUCACCUUCUCUUCCUCCUUCCCUGGACACUCUGAUUUCUCCUCCUCAUCUUUCUCCUUCAGUCCUGGGGCUGGUGCUUUUCGCUCUGUCUCUACAUCUACCACCUUUGUCCAAGGACGCCGCAUCACGACGCGCAGGAUCAUGGAGAACGGGCAGGAGCGGGUGGAAGUAGAGGAGGACGGGCAGCUGAAGUCUGUCACAAUCAAUGGUAUCCCGGAUGACCUGGCACUGGGCUUGGAGCUGAGCCGUCGCGAGCAGCAACAGUCUGUCACCUCCAGAUCAGGGGCCACACAGGUCCGGCAGACCCCUGUGUCGCGACCCCCUGACAGCGACCUCUCUGAGGAUGACGAGGACCUGCAGCUUGCCAUGGCCUACAGCCUGUCAGAGAUGGAGGCAGCUGGGAAGAAACCAGCAGGUGGGCGGGGGGCACAGCGUCGACGGCAGGGGCAGCCCAAGGCCCAGAACCACGACCCAGGCAUGGGGGAGACCCAUGAGGGUGCAAGGGGUGACACAGCCAAACCCAGCCCAUCUCCGGAGGAGAAGGCCUCUCGCUGCCUCAUCCUCUGAUCACUAGGCCCAACCCACCCGAUUCAGGGGGCCAGGGGUCCUGUUCACUGUCAGGAGAGCAGAGAGGGGCGUGGCCUGAGUUGCAGGAGCCCCUCUCCACCUCCAUGCUCCCUCCCAGGUCCACCCCCCUCCACCCUCCAGCGUGGAGUCAGGAUUUGCUGUGCUCAGCCCACGGCUGAUAGGUCCCUGGCAAAGCCCAGGGUGGGGGGUGUCAGGGCAGUGGGAGGGCCUGAGGAGCCAGGAUUCACUUAUUCUUAUUAGACAGGGAGUUUAAAGGGGCAUUAGUGGCUUGGGUCAGGCCUUUCGUGCCCAGGUCUUCUGCCACCUGUGUUGCCGAUGAUGUUAAGGAAGGAGGACUUGGCCUGAGGUUCUCUGAGCCAGAGUCGGCAGACACGGCUCUCCUUAUCCGGCUGCAGACAACCCCACCCUGGUUUCUGCGCAGUGUUGAGCUCUGACGUCUCUGUUGCUUCCCUCCUGGUGCUGCUUCUCCCUCGCACUCUUCUCUCUGCAAUUCCCCGUGGGCCGCAACGCUUGCUUUCACUGCCGUCUGGCUGGGACUCCCUUCUUGCUUCCCCCAGAAGGCCUCUUUGUGGCGAGGAAGAUUCUGUGGCCAGUAGGGCCAUAAGGUCUUCCGGGGAGGCUAGCUGGGUGGGGCGGGAGCCUCUCGGCCGUCCAGAUUCGGAACCGGAGCCUACUCCUCCUCCCUUCCUCUUGCUGCCUCAGCCUGCCCCAGGCCUUGGGACUAGCCAGAGAUGUGUUCUGAGCUGGAUGUCCGGGACCCAGAAUGGCAGCACAGUUCCAACAGGACAGCGCCCAACCCUGUGCACUGGGAGGGGACCCUCCAUUCCUCUCCCUCGCCCAUGCUGAGCGUAGAGCCGGGCCUGGGUGGUGGGUGGGGGCUGGGUGGGAAGUAGUCUUAGCCUGUAAACGCUUCCCUGGGUGUUUGGUGCUGUCUCUUGGGGACUACAAGUCCCAGAAUGCAACGCACAAUGCCUCCUUUCUGUUAGAUCAUGCUUGGGAGAAGUGGUGCACAGUUACAGAGCUGUGCAUCUUGGGACAUGUAGUUCCAGCCCUGGUCGGCUUGUUAACUCACUGUGAGAUGGGGCGAUCGUGUCCUUUGAUUUGUCCCUGGCAGGGGUGGCAAGAAUGUGGAUGAUGGGGUAAUGGUCUGAGCUUUGUUUCCCCUGACACCUCUUGCUAGCGCCAGGGUUGGAGUGUACCCAUCAAGGCCCUGUGGCAUCUCGGAGAGGCUCUUUUCCUGCGGGCAGUCCCGGGGUCUGAGAAUGAGCCACGGCUGAUCGGCUAAGCAGGGCGUGGUCUCAGGAGGCUGACAGGCGUGGGAGCUUGGAAGCUAGCCCUCUCAGUGGUGGUGGUGGUGGGGGGCGGGUGUGUGGCUGGAAUUGGUGUGUGAUGGGUGCUCUGGGCAUGUUGCUGCUUGUAUGGCUUCUUCGGCCUCUGACCCCGCUGCCCAUUCUUUCUCUCCAACACCACAGAAGCUGCCUCUCCUCCUCCCUCCCUGGGGAGCCUGGUGGCUGGGGAGGGGAGUGGUGGAGCCGGGGUGUUGCCAGACCCUGGACCGUUGAGUCUCAGAGACCUAUCAAAGCCAGCGGGGCUGAGCUCAGACCAAGAGGGAGCCACUGGAACUCAAUAAAGCUGAGUUUCGAGA